AGAUAAGAUACUAAGGGUAUAUGGUGAAUGCCUUGGUACGGGAUGAUGAUGAAGGACGUGGCAAGCUGCGAUAAGCCUCGGGGAGGUGCAAGUAACCUUUGAGCCGGGGAUUUCCGAAUGGGGAAACCCAUCCAGGGUAAUGCCUGGAUACCCCGCCUCUGGUCAUAUGACCUGUAUAGGCGGGGAGACAACCCAGGGAAGUGAAACAUCUCAGUACCUGGAGGAAAAGAAACCGAAAGGGAUUCCCUCAGUAGCGGCGAGCGAAAGGGGAAGAGCCUAAACUCAUCCAUGUGUCACAGCCUGCGCGCUUUGCAUGGAGAGGGUAGUGGGGUGCCUCUGGGAUCUAGCGCAGAUGGAUCCAGAGAGUUACAAAAUUCCUGCAUAGUCGAAUCCUUCUGGAAAGGGGAGCUAUAGAGGGUGAAAGCCCCGUAGAUAAAAUGUAAGGAAUCUCUGUGAGAGGCAAACCCGAGUACCGUGGGACACGUGAAAUCCUGCGGGAAUCUACCCGGACCACCGGGUAAGGCUAAAUACUAUUCCGUGACCGAUAGUGAACCAGUACCGUGAGGGAAAGGUGAAAAGAACCCCUGGCGGGGAGUGAAAUAGAACCUGAAACCAUAUACCUACAAGCAGUGGGAGGAAACCUGUUGUAUGCCUUUGUGCUUACGAUAGGUCUCUGACCGCGUGCCUUUUGCAUAAUGAGCCGGCGAGUUACUCUAACGAGCGUGCUUAACCCUGCACUUGGUAGGUGUAGGGGGAGGCGUAGGGAAACCGAGUCUUAACUGGGCGUCGGCUAAUAGGUAUCAGGCAAACAGAUGUUGGACAAAAGUUUACUUUUGUUCAAUGUUUUAUGCCUUCUAUCUAUAGCUAUGUUCGUUGGAGUAGACCCGAAGCCGAGUGAGCUACCCAUGGCCAGGGUGAACUCCGCUUAACAGCGGAGGAAGGCCCGAACCAGUGUCUCGUGCAAUAGGCUUGGAUGAGCUGUGGGUAGGAGUGAAAGGCUAAACAAACUCGGUGAUAGCUGGUUCUGCCCGAAAUAUAUUUAGGUAUAGCCUCGGAAUAGAGAAACGGAGGUAGAGCACUGGAUGAACUAGGGCCCGCAAGGGUUCCGAAUCCAACCAAACUCCGAAUGCCGUUUCUUGGUUUCCGGGAGUCAGGGUGCGGGGGAUAAGCUCCGUGCCCAAGAGGGAAACAACCCAGACCACAAGCUAAGGUCCCAAAAUAGAGACUAAGUGGUAAAGGAUGUGAGAUUCCAAAAACAGCUGGGAGGUUGGCUUAGAAGCAGCCAUCCUUUAAAGAAAGCGUAACAGCUCACCAGUCGAGGGGUCUUGCGCCGAAAAUGAUCGGGGCUUAAGUCUCUUACCGAAGCUGUGGCUCGUUAGUUGGCUGGUUGGAUAGUUAGGUAGUUGGCUAGUCCAGCAAACUAACAAACUAACAGCCUAACAAACUAAUGGGGGUAGGGUAGCAUUCCAUUCGGGUUGAAGUUUUACCGUAAGGUGAGGUGGACUGAAUGGAAGAGAUUAGGCCGGCAUGAGUAGCGAUAACUCCGCUGAGAAAGCGGGGCACCGUAAACCUAAGGGUUCCUGGGGAAGGUUAGUCCGCCCAGGGUCAGUCGGUCCCUAAGCCGAGGCCGAAAGGCGUAGGCGAUGGGAAAGCCGUAAAUAUUCGGCUACCACCAGAGAGACGUUUGACCGAAGGGGGAACAGAGAAGGAAGUGCCAGUCCCUUAUUGGAUUGGGAUUCAAGCCCGUAGGAGGUCCCGGCAGGCAAAUCCACCGGGAUGUAAACUCUGAGGGGUGAUGAGGAGGGCUUUGCCCACAAACUGGCAGGACCGUUCUCUCAAGAAAAGCCUCGUAGGGAGUUUUUCUGGUGACCGUACCGUAAACCGACACAGGUAGGUGAGGAGAGUAUCCUAAGGUGUGCGAGUGAACCCUCGUUAAGGAACUCGGCAAUUUAACCCCGUAACUUCGGGAGAAGGGGUGCCUGGGAAGGUGAAGUCUCUUGCAGACGGAGCUUUCCUGGGUCGCAGUGAAAUGGCCCAAGCGACUGUUUACCAAAAACACAGGCCUCUGCAAACCUGUAAGGGGAAGUAUAGGGGCUGAAACCUGCCCGGCGCCGGAAGGUUAAGGGGAGGGGUGCAAGCUCUGAACCGAAGCCCCGGCAAGCGGCGGCGAUAACUAUAAUCGUCCUAAGAUAGCGAAAUUCCUUGUCGGGUAAGUUCCGACCUGCAUGAAUGGUGUAACGACUUGGGCGCUGUCUCGACGAGGGGCUCGGUGAAAUUGUAGUGGCGGUGAAGAUGCCGCCUACCCGCGACUGGACAAAUAGACCCCGGAACCUUUACUGCAACUUGGCACUGGAUCUUAGUAGAACUUGUGUAGGAUAGGUGGGAGGCUUUGAACCUUCAACGCUAGUUGAGGGGGAGCCAACAGUGAAAUACCACCCUUGUUCUGUUGAGCUUCUAACUCUUGCUGUGCAAGCAGGGGGACAAUGUCUGGUGGGUAGUUUAACUGGGGCGGUUGCCUCAAUAGUGGGGCGCUCCGGUGGUAACAUCGGAGGCAAAUCCGGCUAUAUGCUGGGAACUCCGUUUCCUAACAAAGGCUUGCCUCUGGGCUUUUGUAAAGGGAUGUAGAAUGUGGCGCUACCUUGCACUUAUACAUAAGUGCUGGGUGAAAAUGCGUCCACUGCGGACAAUCAGCAGGGAAGUCCGACUUGUGUCGGACCCCUCAACGACUGCACGCCGGACUCCGACUUUAUGUCGGAGGUGAUACAGCCUGAACUUCCGGGCGACCGGAAGCCGGGGCAACUCGGGGCCUGGCUAAGGAGAAACUAUAUGCAUUCUAAAGCGAUCGAGCAAUACAAGCAAGGGCUCAAGUUAACCAGAGAACAACGAGAAAUACUGAUUGGGUUGCUUUUAGGGGAUGCUCAUCUGGAGACACAAAAUGGAGGUCGGACAUAUCGGCUUAAGAUUGAGCAGAGCGAAGCUCAUCAAGCCUAUGUAGAACAUCUCUAUGAAGUGUUUAAACAGUGGGUUCUUACUCCACCGCAACCGAAGGAGAAGCGCUGUCAGGGAUAUGUGAGUCGAAACUGGUGGUUUCAGACAGUAAGUCACAGGACAUUAAGAUUCUAUGCCCAUCAGUUCUACAGGAAAGGACGGAAAUGUGUCCCUCAUCUCAUUCAUCUUUGGUUAACUCCGCAUGCUUUAUCUUACUGGUUUAUGGACGAUGGUUCAAUAAAGUCAAAGCAGUCCAAGGGAGUGAUUUUCAACACGCAAGGUUAUACCUUGGGCGAAGUAGAGCUCUUAAUAUCCGUCUUGGAAGAGCGUUUUGGAUUGCACGCAAAAAGUAGAAGGCAGAAAGAGGGCUAUCAAAUCUAUAUCUCAGGUAAAUCCUAUGAGCGUUUUCGAGAAUUGAUUGAGCCCUAUUUGAUAGAUAAUAUGCGUUACAAACUGCCAAGUGCCAGGCAAACACAAUUGCCUAAAAGGUAACGGAGGCGCUCAAAGGUUGGCUCAGCACGGUCGGUAAUCGUGCGUUGAGUGUAAAGGCAUAAGCCAGCCUGACUGCGACUUGGACACAAGGAGCAGAGGGGAAACCCGGACUUAAUGACCCGACAGUUCCGUGUGGAAGGACUGAAGAUCAUCGGAUAAAAGGUACUCCGGGGAUAACAGGCUGAUCGGGCCCAAGAGUUCACAUCGACGGCCCGGUUUGGCACCUCGAUGUCGGCCCAUCGCAUCCUGGGGCUGGAGAAGGCCCCAAGGGUUGGUCUGUUCGCCCAUUAAAGCGGUACGCGAGCUGGGUUCAGAACGUCGUGAGACAGUUCGGUCCAUAUCCGUCGCGGGCGUAGGAGAUUUGAGGGGAGCUGUCCCCAGUAUGAGAAGACCGGGAUGGACGAACCUCUGGUGUACCAGUUGUGGCGCCAGCUGCAUCGCUGGGUAGCUAUGUUCGGAAGGGAUAACCGCUGAAGGCAUCUAAGUGGGAAGCCCACCCCAAGAUUAAAUCUCCCUCCUGCCGCAAGGCGGGACUGAAGGCACCUUGAAGAUGACAAGGUCGACCGUAAGGUCGCCCCGACAUUAUGUCGGGGGAUAGGCCGCAGGUGUAAGUCCAGUAAUGGAUUUAGCCGAGCGGUACUAAUAAGCCGUGAGUCUUA
rnacentral:rRNA from 1 species